AUGGGUGGCAAUAGCUAUGACCCUCUAGUCAUUGAGGAUUUUGAUUGGGGCAAUGAGUGGGUUGACCCAACAAUACCUCCACCCCAAGGUGCUCGAGGGUGUCCCGAUGACAUUUCAUGGGAGCUUGUUGAUGAGGCUGUUGGUGCAAGUUCGUCGCUGCAAGGUCGCAACUUUCCUAGAGCUAGCACCAUGGCAAGGGGGGCCUCAAAUGUUAAUGUCCAGUACCAAAGGCAGCGCAAAAGGGCUGCUCCGUCACCAACAUUUCUUCAUGAAGAUGACGAAGAGGAUGACCAAGAACAACAACCAAGUAUCCCCAAUGGAGAGGAUGAUGAUUCAGACUUUCUUCAAGAUGAUGUUGAUGUGACCGAUGAUGAUGAAGAUCCAACUAGUGCUGACCAAGAUGGCGAAGACAACACAAAUACUACCAUCGAUGAGUUCGAUGAUGGCUAUUGA
rnacentral:rRNA from 1 species